rnacentral:rRNA from 1 species
AGAACGAACGCUGGCGGCAGGCUUAACACAUGCAAGUCGAACGGUUGUAGCAAUACAGCAGUGGCAGACGGGUGAGUAACACGUGGGAACCUUCCUAGGGGUACGGAACAACUCAGGGAAACUUGAGCUAAUACCGUAUACGUCCGUGAGGAGAAAGUUUUAACGCCCCUAGACGGGCCCGCGUAGGAUUAGGUAGUUGGUGAGGUAACGGCUCACCAAGCCUACGAUCCUUAGCUGAUCUGAGAGGAUGAUCAGCCACACUGGGACUGAGACACGGCCCAGACUCCUACGGGAGGCAGCAGUGGGGAAUCUUGGACAAUGGGCGCAAGCCUGAUCCAGCCAUGCCGCGUGAGUGAAGAAGGCCUUCGGGUGUAAGCUCUUUACCAGGGACGAUAAUGACGGUACCUGGAGAAUAAGCCCCGGCAAACUUCGUGCCAGCAGCCGC